rnacentral:rRNA from 1 species
UUAACACAUGCAAGUCGAGCGAAGCAGUUAAGUUGAUUUCUUCGGAUUGAUUCUUAACUGACUGAGCGGCGGACGGGUGAGUAACGCGUGGGUGACCUGCCCCGUACCGGGGGAUAACAGCUGGAAACGGCUGCUAAUACCGCAUAAGCGCACAGAGCUGCAUGGCUCGGUGUGAAAAACUCCGGUGGUAUGGGAUGGGCCCGCGUCUGAUUAGGCAGUUGGCGGGGUAACGGCCCACCAAACCGACGAUCAGUAGCCGGCCUGAGAGGGCGACCGGCCACAUUGGGACUGAGACACGGCCCAAACUCCUACGGGAGGCAGCAGUGGGGAAUAUUGCACAAUGGGGGAAACCCUGAUGCAGCGACGCCGCGUGAGCGAAGAAGUAUUUCGGUAUGUAAAGCUCUAUCAGCAGGGAAGAUAAUGACGGUACCUGACUAAGAAGCCCCGGCUAACUACGUGCCAGCAGCCGCGGUAAUACGUAGGGGGCAAGCGUUAUCCGGAUUUACUGGGUGUAAAGGGAGCGUAGACGGCAAGGCAAGUCUGAUGUGAAAACCCAGGGCUUAACCCUGGGACUGCAUUGGAAACUGUCUGGCUCGAGUGCCGGAGAGGUAAGCGGAAUUCCUAGUGUAGCGGUGAAAUGCGUAGAUAUU